rnacentral:rRNA from 1 species
GACGAACGCUGGCGGCGUGCCUAAUACAUGCAAGUCGAACGCAGUGGGGACGGGUGAGUAACACGUGGGUAACCUUCCACCAGAGGGGUUAACCUUUGGAAACAGGUGCUAAACUGAUACUGAUGGAUGGACUCGCGGUGCAUGAGCUAGUGGGUGGGGUAACGGGUCACCAAGGCCACGAUGCAUAGCCGACCUGAGAGGGUGUACGGCCACACUGGGACUGAGACACGGCCCAGACUCCUACGGGAGGAAGCAGUAGGGAAUCGUCGGCAAGGGACGAAAGUCUGACCGAGCAACGCCGCGUGAGUGAAGAAGGUGUUCGGAUCGUAAAACUCUGUUGUGAGAGAAGCGGUAUCUAACCAGAAAGCCACGGCUAACUACGUGCCAGCAGCCGCGGUAAUUC